GCUCCCUCCUCACUGCGCUCUCCCCCUCUCGUCUGCUCCGCUGCCCCGUCAUCCGAGAAGCUGCUCACCGGCGGACGGGUGAGGUCCGCGUCCAGGCCCUGUGCAGCCUGCCGGCCGGCUGCAUGCCCGGGGAUACGGCUGGAUCUUCCUGUCAGUGCCGUGCGCAGCUCCUGCGCCAUCCCAUCAGCGGGGGGGUGGGGGAGAUCUGCGAGCUCGGGGCCAGGCCUCAACGGGACCCUGAGCUGUUUCUUGCCUCUGCCGCCACUCUACUCAACCUCCUGGUCACAUAGGGGCCCCUGCUGCUGUUCCAGCUACGGCCCCCCGCCUUCGUAGUUGCGCUCCCUAGGUGUGUGUCAUGGAUCACAGUCUGUUUGGCUGCCUGCGCAGCCCCCAUGCUCCGGCACCCGCGCAGGCCCUGCAUCCAGCCUUCGCCCAGUUUGGCCGCUCUGAACACGUCUCAUACCCGGACCUGCAGGGGUCGUCGCCGUCCUGCACUGUGCCGGGUUACCCGGUCGACGGGGGGGUCUUCAGCGGUGCCCCCCACCGCAGCCAGCUGCAUCCGCCUCAGCACCAACACCCAUCCGGCUGGCACUUACCGCAGAUGUCCUCCCCACCACCAGUUGGCGUCAGGCACGGACUCGGCCUCCUGCCCCCUUCCUCCGGCUCUCCGGAGCUGUGUGCCAGUGCGGCUGGCAGCACCCCGACCGGGCUGCCCUGCACGCCGGGGGAUCUUGGCCCACGGACAAUGUCCCCAGCUGACCUGGACAGGAGGGCCGCCAAGCUGAAAAGUGACAGCUCAGACUCCCAGGAUGGGAAUUACAAGAGUGAGGCGAACAGUAAGCCCAGAAAGGAGCGGACGGCGUUCACCAAGGAGCAGAUCCGGGAGCUGGAGGCCGAAUUCUCCCACCACAACUAUCUGACGCGGCUGCGACGAUACGAAAUAGCCGUGAACCUCGACCUCACCGAGAGACAGGUGAAGGUCUGGUUCCAGAACAGGAGGAUGAAGUGGAAGCGGGUGAAAGGGGGGCAGCAGGGGGCGCUGGCGCGUGAGAAGGAACUGGGCAAUGUGCGUAAGGGCACCCUGCUGCCCUCGGAGUUUUCCGGCAUCGCCGGCAUGCACCGCUCCAGGGAUUCCCUCACCAACGACGACAGCCGCGACAGCGACCAGAGUUCGGAGCAUGCACAUUUAUGACGCUGCAUGGGCCCGGCCCUCCGCUUGCAGACUCUGCCUCCAAACUCAGGACCUGCUGACACGUCGUCCAGGCAAAACAAGCCGCCUGACGAUCUGGAUGGGGGCUGAAAUGAUAACGAAUGAUGCGUUCAACAGAGUCACUUUGAAAAGAUGUCUGCUUGUGAGCAAGAACCCACCCCAAAAAAAGUCUUAAAUGUGCACCUUCUCAACUUCCCGAGACACAGACGUAAGCGCUACCCACAGUUGUGCUUAAAACAGCACAGGAAUCCACUGCUGGACUUUUUUCUGGGUGUGUACUUGUUUUUAUUACUGUCCUAAUUUCAAUGCCAGCAUCAAACAGAUCACACACAAGCAUUAUGACCUGCUAGAUGAUAAAAUAGAAUGUUUAUUGUUUUCUCUGCGCUGUAACUGUCUGGAAAAUGCAUGCACAUUGUUGGCUUUGUCUAAAUAGGAUCUGGCUAAUAAUCUUUACAUAUCUGUCAAAGAAAAACAGCAUUCAAAGCUCAUGGCUAAACCUAAGCUAUCACCAUUAUUUCAGCGUCUUUGAGUUUUUGAAAAGCGCUUUAUAAAUAAAAUGUAUUGUUAUAUUAUUAUAAUUUCAGAUCACCAUUUUUUUACAGUGCUUUACGUACAUUAAUUACAGGGUAAACCAGGUGGACUUCAGCCUAGCUGUAUGACUAACAGGGCUUGAAUAUUUAUUUUCGAGCUGAUUUUUGUGUGACAUAGAACAGAUAGCUUUUCACCACGAUGAAACUGGCAGCCGUAUUUUAAACUGACGCAAUGGUUUUGCCAGCACAAGAAAACAUUUCUUAUUUGGCUUUCAGAUGCGAUCUGAUUUUGGAUAAACCGGGCAGCUCUUUCCUGGUCAGCGGCCACCUGUCUUCUCCAUUCUGGCUUUAAGAAAACGUGCAGCUUAAGGGACAAAGGAAUAUCGAACCAGAGCCUUGUUGUUUUGAAUAUCUCUGGACCUUGCUACUUUUGAUCUUGGAUGACCUCCAUCACCUUGAUGCUUUUGGGAAAUGCUUUCCUGUUGCAGGAAAAACAAUAUUGUGAUAACGAAGCUGCAAGCCAAGGUCAACACUGCAAAUGAAAUAAUUUUUUCCACGUUGUAUUUCGCCGCCUUGCAAAACCUCACCAGAGAUUCAGUAUCGUACUGAGCACAGCCGUCUGGGAGGUAAGGAACUGAACUGUCGUGUCUGGGUCACGAACACUCCUGCGUUUGACAGUGGCAGAUGAACUUGGUGAAAUUUGUCCAGCAGUCGAAGGUCUUCUAAAAUCCAUCAUAUUCCUUCAUGAUGAUUCUUUUUAAAAAUGAUGUGGUGCUUUUGUCACACUCAGAUUUUGGCGAAGCGUUUACCCAGGAUGUUUUGUUUUCUUUUCUGUCUGGAAAAUGUCGGAAGUGUAAAAUAUGCAGAGGUUAAAUAUUUACUGCAUGCGCUGUGUGAUGUCACCGGCAUCCAUUCUGAGGUGUCCCUUGUCAUGUGUCCUGAGUGUCCUGGGAUUGGGUCCAAGCUCCCUGCAAGCCUGUACUGGGAAAGCAGUUAUAGAAGAUGGAUGGAUGGAUGAUCCACGUCAAGCCACUGAUUUCAUGGCCUCCUUAACAUCCUACUCUUUUCUAAAGCUUCCGAUUGUAUCAUAUUUGUGUUGUACAGCAAAAUAAAAUGGACUGAUAUCCAA